rnacentral:snRNA from 1 species
AUAGCUUCUCGGCCUUUUGGCUAAGAUCAAGUGUAGUAUCUGUUCUUAUCAGUUUAAUUUUAUGUUUCUUCAGGUAUAUUUUUUUAGCUGUCAAUUCAU